GACGGGUAGCCGGCCUGAGAGGGCGACCGGCCACACUGGGACUGAGACACGGCCCAGACUCCUACGGGAGGCAGCAGUGGGGAAUAUUGCACAAUGGGCGAAAGCCUGAUGCAGCGACGCCGCGUGAGGGAUGACGGCCUUCGGGUUGUAAACCUCUUUCAGCAGGGAAGAAGCGAAAGUGACGGUACCUGCAGAAGAAGCGCCGGCUAACUACGUGCCAGCAGCCGCGGUAAUACGUAGGGCGCAAGCGUUGUCCGGAAUUAUUGGGCGUAAAGAGCUCGUAGGCGGCUUGUCACGUCGGUUGUGAAAGCCCGGGGCUUAACCCCGGGUCUGCAGUCGAUACGGGCAGGCUAGAGUUCGGUAGGGGAGAUCGGAAUUCCUGGUGUAGCGGUGAAAUGCGCAGAUAUCAGGAGGAACACCGGUGGCGAAGGCGGAUCUCUGGGCCGAUACUGACGCUGAGGAGCGAAAGCGUGGGGAGCGAACAGGAUUAGAUACCCUGGUAGUCCACGCCGUAAACGGUGGGCACUAGGUGUGGGCAACAUUCCACGUUGUCCGUGCCGCAGCUAACGCAUUAAGUGCCCCGCCUGGGGAAGUACGG
rnacentral:rRNA from 1 species